rnacentral:rRNA from 1 species
AUUAAUAAUUAAUAUAUUUAAUAAAAAUAAUUUUAAUUUAAUAAAUAUUUUAAUGGGGGUUAAAGUAUUUUUUAAAGAAAAAAUUUUUAAAUUUAUAGUUAAUUAGUAUUGUGAAAGAAUUUUGAAAUAUUAUGAAAAAUAAAAUUUUUAGAAAGUAAUUUUUAUUUAUUGUAUCUUGUGUAUCAGAGUUUAUUAAAAAUUUUUAAUUUAUGAAUUAAUUUCUCGAAUUUAAAAGAGUUAAAUAAUUAUUAAAGUUAUUGUAGCAAAAUUAUUUUAAAUAAUUAUUUAGAAAUGAAAUGUUAAUCGUUUUUAAAUAUAUCUAGUUUUUAUAGAAAAAAAUUUAAUUUUAAAUUUAAAAAUUAUUUAAUUAAUUUAUUAAUUAAAUAAUUACUUAAAUUUUAUAAUUUAAGGGAUAAGCUUUAAAUUAAAUUUUUAUAAUAUUAAAUUUUUAUUUUGAAAAUUUUAUAAUUUAUAUUGUUAAUAAAUUUUAUUUUGUUAUAAAUAAUUUCAUUUUUUUUAAAAUUUAAAUUUUAUUUAAUUUUUUAUAUAAAAUUUAUUUAUAAUUAUAUAAAGUUAAUUAUAAUGAUAAAAUUAGUAUAUUAUUUAAUAUUAAAUUAAAAUUAAUUUUUGAUUAAUAAUUAAAUUAAUUAAAAGGAAUUCGGCAAAUAUUUAUUUUCACUUGUUUAUCAAAAACAUGUCUUUUUGUUAUUUAAUUUAAAGUCUAAUCUGCCCACUGAUUUAUAAAAAUUGAAGGGCUGCAGUAUAUUGACUGUACAAAGGUAGCAUAAUCAUUAGUCUCUUAAUUGGUGACUUGUAUGAAAGAUUGGAUGAAAAAUAUACUGUCUCUUAAUUAAUAUAUAGAAUUUAAUUUUUUAUUUAAAAAGUUAAAAUAACUUAAAAAGACGAGAAGACCCUAUAGAGUUUAAUAAAUUAUUUUAUGAAAGUUUUAUUUAUAUUUACUAAUAAUUUUAUAAAUUUAUUUAUUUAGUUGGGGUGAUAAAAAAAUAAAUUUAACUUUUUUUAAGUAAUUUACAUGGAUAAGUGAUUAAU